AUGUUCUCCCAUUUUGUGAUGUUUCUUUCUUUUUUUCUUCAACUUUUAUUUUCUUGGGUCCAUGUGCAUGAUGUGCAGAUUUGUUACAUAGAUAAAUGUGGCCAUGGUGGUUUGCUGCACAGAUCAACCCAUCACCCAGAUGUCAGUUCUUUGCCAGAUACUACGUUUUGUGAGUAUUUUACCCUUAUCUGUAGCUUGCCUAGUUUCUUAACACUGGUAGCUUGCCUAAUUUCUUAACAGUGGCUUUU
rnacentral:lncRNA from 1 species